UAUCAUUAUUAAUAAUUAUUAAUUCAUUAUCAUCAAACUUAGAAUAUUUACAGAUUCUACCGUUUACGGAUUUACGUUUUUGGCGGAAAAAUUACGGGUUUACGUUUUUAGCGAGAAAAUCACGGGUUUACGUUUUUGGCGGGAAAAUCACAGGUUUUCGUUUUUGGCAGAAAAAUCACGGGUUUUCGUUUUUAGCGGGAAAAUCACGGGUUUACGUUUUUGGCGGGAAAAUCACGGGUUUUCGUUUUUGGCGGAAAAAUCACGGGUUUUCGUUUUUGACUGGAAAAUUACAUGUUUUUCGUUUUUGGCGGGAAAAUCACGGGUUUACGUUUUUGGCGAGAAAAUAACGGGUUUUUGUUUUUGGCUGGAAAAUUACAUGUUUUUCGUUUUUGGCGGGAAAAUCACAGGUUUUCGUUUUUGGCGGGAAAAUCACGGGUUUUCAUUUUUGGCGGGAAAAUCACGGGUUUUCGUUUUUGACGGAAAAAUCAUGGUUUUCAUUUUUGGCGGGAACAUCACGGGUUUACGUUUUUUGCGGAAAAAUCAAGGAUUUACGUUUUUGGCGGGAAAAUCACGGGUUUAUGUUUUUUGGUGGAAAAAUUACGAGUUUACUUUUUCUCAAUUCAUCGCUUGUAUAUUUAAGAAAUUUGGAAAAAUAUUGAUUUUAUUAGAUUGGUUUAGAUGUGUUGGUUAAACUUAAAUUGGCAUUGGUUUAAAGAUUUUAGUUGGUUUAAUUCAAUUUUACAAAACUUGAUAGGUUAAUUGGGUAAACCAUUGAAAACAUUAACCAUUAUAACUCAACUCAUUUUAUUCAUCAAACCAAUUGAUCCAAUAAUUCAUUUGACCCAUCAACUCAUUUGAGUCAAAAAAUUUAACUCAUUAGUGUUCAGGGGUUAAGUAAAGUUGAGUUGACCCAUAAAUUUUGAUCCAUUUUGACACCCCUAUAUAUAAUACGUACAAUUCAAAAAUAUAAAGUCUAGUUUUUUUUUUUUUCGUAUA
rnacentral:sRNA from 1 species